CCCGCUGAACUUAAGCAUAUCAAUAAGCGGAGGAAAAGAAACUAACAAGGAUUCCCCUAGUAACUGCGAGUGAAGCGGGAAAAGCUCAAAUUUGAAAUCUGGUGGUCUUUGGCCAUCCGAGUUGUAAUUUAGAGAAGCGUCUUCCGCGCUGGACCGUGCACAAGUCUCCUGGAACGGAGCGUCGUAGAGGGUGAGAAUCCCGUCUUUGGCACGGACACACCAGGGCUUUUGCGAUGCGCUCUCGAAGAGUCGAGUUGUUUGGGAAUGCAGCUCAAAAUGGGUGGUGAACUCCAUCUAAAGCUAAAUAUUGGCGAGAGACCGAUAGCGAACAAGUACCGUGAGGGAAAGAUGAAAAGCACUUUGGAAAGAGAGUGAAACAGUACGUGAAAUUGUUGAAAGGGAAACGCUUGAAGUCAGCCGCGUCGUCCGAGACUCAGCCUCGCCUCGGCUUGGCGUACUUCUCGGCCCGACGGGUCAGCAUCUGAUUUCGCGCUCUCGGAUAAUGGCGAGGGAAAAGUGACACCUUUACGGUGUGUUAUAGUCUCUCGUCGCAUGCGAGGGUCGGGAUUGAGGAACUCAGCACGCGCCCUCGGGCGUCGGGGCUUUCGCCCACGAUACGUGCUUAGGAUGUUGGCGUAAUGGCUUUAAACGACCCGUCUUGAAACACGG
rnacentral:rRNA from 1 species